UUAUUACUAAAAGCUGUGAAAACAAUACAACAGAAGGUGAUGUCAUCCUACUGUCAGCUAGCCCUUCCUGGAUACUUUUUAUUUACAGGUGUGCUGGAGUGGUGACUUUCAUCAUUAUCCUGAUCUUCCUCUAUUUUUUUCUGUAUCCGUGGACAGGAAUCAGCACCACAACCAGCAGAACCAGUCCAGACACAGCAGCACCUCGUACCAAAUACGUCUCUGCCAGGCAGUGCUCCUCCCAGUCUCCAUGAUCGGCCUACAAGUGUUCGUUCCCAAAGAACCAGUCCUGCCACAGAGCCAAAUAUUGUAUUCGAUGAUGAAGAUCCAAUCAGGAGGAACUCCAGAACAUCAUCCAAUGGCGUUCCAUCUGCUAGACAAAGUGUUUUUCUUCAGGCAGCAGCUGGGUCAGAGGACUGUGAUGACUAUGACGAUGUGGAGAACAGUGAAGAGGACCGGUGUUGAUUUCUAAAGGUUAAAAAGAAGGGAUUGUAUUAGAGUGAUCAGUUGCAUCUUUUUCCAUCAGAAUCUCAGCCCAGAAGUAUGAAAGUUACGUUAGUAAAGAGUUUUUCCGUUUUCCAGUUCUGUUUCCUCUUAAGCUUUCACAAAUACUCAGGUCUUUCAAAAGACAAGCUUUCAGAUUAGGGUGUUGGUGUUCUGCCAUUGAGUAAUAAAGCCAACCAAAUUUCUGAGGAGUUUUCCUGAUGUUUUCCAAUGGUUUGAAUUUUUGCUGUGAGACAUCAUAGAGUCAGUAAUAUGAGACAGGAAAUUAUAGCAUUUAAAAAAGUUAAAUAUGAAUCCAUAACAGCAUACCAAAUGUAAAAUAGGAGUGAUAUCAUCACACCAGAAAUAUUUAUAUUGUAGAUGUGUACAAGAUUAUUAUCAUAAAUUACAUUUCAUUCAUACUAGUUCUUUAUAAACAUUUUUUUCCCUGUGUGGAGUAGAAAGUGCCUUAUAGAAUUCCUUUUGAUAUAUUAAUACAAAUAUUUUCAGCAGGCCGGUAUGGUGGUCCAGUGGUUAGCAUUGGUGCUUUGCAGAGCUUGGGCCCUGAGAUAAAUUCUGGACCUAGGGUAAUAUCUUCUCAAGCUUCCUCUCAGUCCAAAGACAUACUGGAAGACUAAUUGGCUUUUGGGAAAAUUGGCCCUGGCAUGAGUGUGUUUGGGUCUGUGUGUGUUCUACGAUAGACUGGUGUCCUGUCCAGGGUGUGUCCUGUCUUAUGCCUCUGGGUUGCUGGGAAAGGCUCUUUCUUCCCUCCACCCCUGAACUGGAUAAGGCAGUUAGACAAUAAAUUGAUAUUUUCAUUAUCUGAUCAUCUCACAAAUUUCAUUUUGUUUGCUUUGUGAUUUAAAGCCUUUUAUUCAUGAUUAAUAUGAACAUGUUGACAUUUGAACUACCUGUAACAGUCACAGGCUUGGGUGAACCACAAGUGCAACAGUGAUUCCCACUGUCCAGCUGUGUGGGUCUCUGCCUGUAUAUCUGUCCAGCUGGAAGUUAGCCGAGAGGGAACGUGAUCAAGUAUGGAAGACAUUGAUGUUGUGGUUAAAGCUGUUGAACAUACUUAUGCAUGUAUUUCUGUUGUAUUGAUCACUCAUAUCAAUCUUUUUACUUUUUCAGAUGCAAUCUGCAUAAGCAGAACAUACAAUAUGUGUUCUGAAUAUUUAAU